rnacentral:tRNA from 1 species
GCCGCCUUAGCUCAGCUGGCAGAGCGCUUGACUUGUAAUCAGGAGGUCUCCGGUUCAAACCCGGGAGGCGGCU